CAAGGAAUUUUCCGCAAUGGGCGCAAGCCUGACGGAGCAACGCCGCGUGCAGGACGACGGCCCUAGGGUCGUAAAGCUCUUUCGCCAGGGAUGAUAAUGACAGUACCUGGUAAAGAAACCCCGGCUAACUCCGUGCCAGCAGCCGCGGUAAUACGGAGGGGGUUAGCGUUGUUCGGAAUUACUGGGCGUAAAGCGCGCGUAGGCGGACUAUUAAGUCAGGGGUGAAAUCCCGGGGCUCAACCCCGGAACUGCCUUUGAUACUGGUAGUCUUGAGUUCGAGAGAGGUGAGUGGAAUUCCGAGUGUAGAGGUGAAAUUCGUAGAUAUUCGGAGGAACACCAGUGGCGAAGGCGGCUCACUGGCUCGAUACUGACGCUGAGGUGCUAAAGCGUGGGGAGCAAACAGGAUUAGAUACCCGUGUAGUCC
rnacentral:rRNA from 1 species